AACAAGUCGUAUCCACCAAGUAGACCUUGGCUUUAGUCCAAGACUCAAAAGUUCUCUUCUGCCGUGUCUCUACAGUCUUGGACUUCUCAUUCUUCCUUGGCCUCAGGCUCAAGGAAAGGGUUUGGAUAUGCAGAAUGUACUCAAGCUCAAUGUCUAGGUGUACAGCUAUAGAUCCUACUGUGCUAAGCGGCCUUGUGGAGUGAUCUUCUUACUAGUAAAAUUUGCACACCAAUAAUAAAACAAAGGUUGCAAAAUAAAGAGCUAUGGCAUCUGCAUGUACUGCUAGUUCAUGACAAAUGAACAUUUAUUGUCCAUCUCUUCAAAUUGAAAAGACUGCAGAGCCUGAAUUACCUGCAACGUUAUGCCUCUUAUGAAACAUCAGCCAGCCUACAGAUAGAAGCUCCCUUUUCCAGCUUUAAGCAAGAGGAACCACAAUGAGAUACAGAUCUUGGUAUCAUGGACCGGUCACUUUUUACAACCAACACUACUUGUAAAAUAAGAUUUACAAAUUAAUUCCUAUAAGCUAUUAAAAAUGCUCUAGUCAAGGUACUAAAAUUUUGCCAUCGAGUUUGAGGUUUUGGGUUUGAUAAAAUGUUAACAUAAAAUAUUUUAAAGGAAGUAAAUGUUUUAAUGAUACUUCCAAGAUUUCCUAUAUUUUAAACAGAAUUUUAGAAUCUUGCAGAAGAAAAGAGAAGUAAUAAAAAGCUAUUAUUCUGUCACCAAACUCACAUUACAUAGAUAAUUUUGUUCAUGGCAAUAAAUCUUAAAAUAUCAAAUUGGAAUUUCUUAAUUAGCAAUUCAUCUGAGCAGCAGUUUGAUGACCUAUUUGGAACUCUUCCUAGAGGCACUUCUUGCAUGACUAUGUAUCGAUAAUUACCUGU